GUCUACAGUCAUGCGGUCAAGGAGAGCUCAAGGAGAGUGGGCAUCGAAGCUUCUACUCUCUAACUGGAAGAAAUGUCUGUCUGUGACUACUGGAUCUGCCUUCAGAGACUUAGAAGGGACAUCAAGCCAAGCAGAAAAUACAAAUUUUUGUUUCAUAGAAAGCUUAAAGAGUUAGGGAAAAGACAGGAAGAUAAUGGAGAAAAUGGAGAAGGGACCUUUGCUGAUGCUGACCCUCCCAUUCCUUCCUGUCCUUCAAGGUGUGGUUCAAGUCACACCUCUGCUGUGAUCUGAAAGCCCUCAGUGCUCUCUGGCAGCAAUGUCUUGUCUCCCCAACAUACAAGGCCUUCUACAUCUUUGUGGAUUCCUCAAGAUCCCAACGUCUUGCUCAGAGUUGACUUUCCACCCUGCCACUGACUUUCCUGUUGGCUGGUAUACACAGAUUUAAUUGAUUGGAAAUAAUUCAGAUGAAAUGUAAGCUCUCCUACUGAAUGCUAGAUUUUGG
rnacentral:lncRNA from 1 species